rnacentral:rRNA from 1 species
AGGCUCGUCCGCUCUGGGUUAGUCGGGUCCUAAGCUGAGGCCGACAGGCGUAGGCGAUGGAUAACAGGUUGAUAUUCCUGUACCACCUAUAAUCGUUUUAAUCGAUGGGGGGGACGCAGUAGGAUAGGCGAAGCGUGCGAUUGGAUUGCACGUCUAAGCAGUAAGGCUGAGUAUUAGGCAAAUCCGGUACUCGUUAAGGCUGAGCUGUGAUGGGGAGAAGACAUUGUGUCUUCGAGUCGUUGAUUUCACACUGCCGAGAAAAGCCUCUAGAUAGAAAAUAGGUGCCCGUACCGCAAACCGACACAGGUAGUCAAGAUGAGAAUUCUAAGGUGAGCGAGCGAACUCUCGUUAAGGAACUCGGCAAAAUGACCCCGUAACUUCGGGAGAAGGGGUGCUCUUUAGGGUUAACGCCCAGAAGAGCCGCAGUGAAUAGGCCCAAGCGACUGUUUAUCAAAAACACAGGUCUCUGCUAAACCGUAAGGUGAUGUAUAGGGGCUGACGCCUGCCCGGUGCUGGAAGGUUAAGAGGAGUGGUUAGCUUCUGCGAAGCUACGAAUCGAAGCCCCAGUAAACGGCGGCCGUAACUAUAACGGUCCUAAGGUAGCGAAAUUCCUUGUCGGGUAAGUUCCGACCCGCACGAAAGGCGUAACGAUUUGGGCACUGUCUCAACGAGAGACUCGGUGAAAUCAUAGUACCUGUGAAGAUGCAGGUUACCCGCGACAGGACGGAAAGACCCCGUGGAGCUUUACUGUAGCCUGAUAUUGAAAUUCGGCACAGCUUGUACAGGAUAGGUAGGAGCCUUUGAAACGUGAGCGCUAGCUUACGUGGAGGCGCUGGUGGGAUACUACCCUAGCUGUGUUGGCUUUCUAACCCGCACCACUUAUCGUGGUGGGAGACAGUGUCAGGCGGGCAGUUUGACUGGGGCGGUCGCCUCCUAAAAGGUAACGGAGGCGCUCAAAGGUUCCCUCAGAAUGGUUGGAAAUCAUUCAUAGAGUGUAAAGGCAUAAGGGAGCUUGACUGCGAGACCUACAAGUCGAGCAGGGUCGAAAGACGGACUUAGUGAUCCGGUGGUUCCGCAUGGAAGGGCCAUCGCUCAACGGAUAAAAGCUACCCCGGGGAUAACAGGCUUAUCUCCCCCAAGAGUUCACAUCGACGGGGAGGUUUGGCACCUCGAUGUCGGCUCAUCGCAUCCUGGGGCUGUAGUCGGUCCCAAGGGUUGGGCUGUUCGCCCAUUAAAGCGGUACGCGAGCUGGGUUCAGAACGUCGUGAGACAGUUCGGUCCCUAUCCGUCGUGGGCGUAGGAAAUUUGAGAGGAGCUGUCCUUAGUACGAGAGGACCGGGAUGGACAUACCUCUGGUGUACCAGUUGUCGUGCCAACGGCAUAGCUGGGUAGCUAUGUGUGGACGGGAUAAGUGCUGAAAGCAUCUAAGCAUGAAGCCCCCCUCAAGAUGAGAUUUCCCAACUUCGGUUAUAAGAUCCCUCAAAGAUGAUGAGGUUAAUAGGUUCGAGGUGGAAGCAUGGUGACAUGUGGAGCUGACGAAUACUAAUCGAUCGAAGACUUAAUCAA